GACGAACGCUGGCGGCGUGCCUAACACAUGCAAGUCGAGCGAGUGGAUCUCCUUCGGGAGUGAAGCUAGCGGCGGACGGGUGAGUAACACGUGGGCAACCUGCCUCAUAGAGGGGAAUAGCCUUUCGAAAGGAAGAUUAAUACCGCAUAAGAUUGUAGCUUCGCAUGAAGUAGCAAUUAAAGGAGCAAUCCGCUAUGAGAUGGGCCCGCGGCGCAUUAGCUAGUUGGUGAGGUAACGGCUCACCAAGGCGACGAUGCGUAGCCGACCUGAGAGGGUGAUCGGCCACAUUGGGACUGAGGCACGGCCCAGACUCCUACGGGAGGCAGCAGUGGGGAAUAUUGCACAAUGGGGGAAACCCUGAUGCAGCAACGCCGCGUGAGUGAUGACGGCCUUCGGGUUGUAAAGCUCUGUCUUCAGGGACGAUAAUGACGGUACCUGAGGAGGAAGCCACGGCUAACUACGUGCCAGCCGCCGCAGUAA
rnacentral:rRNA from 1 species